GAGGCGACCGUGGCCAUGCAGAGUGUUCUGUGAGUCACCGUUAAUUUCAGAUGGGGUAAGGUGAAGAGACGUUCCUUGGGAGCCCAGAGGAGUACAGGAUCUGAUCCCAAGCCCUUUACCAACAGUCCGCAUGACACAGCACUUGUGAGUGAGGCUGAGCAAGAGAAAUGAGACUUCUGCCUCACCCACUGCUACUGCAGGGCAGGAAAAACUCAGAACCAGCAAAGUGCCCACCCCAGAGGCUGCCAGAUUUGUGGAUGUUUCCUGAGGUCCUACUGUGUGCCAGCUGCGGCCAUGUUAGCUACCAGGAAUAUGAAGAUGAAUAAGGAGAUGACAAGUGAAAACAGAAACGCCAAGAUAAACUUGGCUGAGUUUCCCUUGGGAAUUCUCAGGAUCCUACCUGGUGCAGCAGAUCACACCAGGGAGAUGUUACUGGAUCUUUGAUGAGUGAAACAUCCACAGAGGAAGGAAGUAUGAAAAUGAGUGUGAAUGUCAACUCCUGCUAAAAGAAAUGCUUGAACGGCUUAACAAGGAAGCUGAUGAAGCCUUGCUGCAUAACCUACGCCUUCAGCUGGAAGCCCAAUUUCUGCAAGAUGACAUCAGUGCGGCAAAGGACAGGCACAAGAAGAAUCUUCUGGAAGUUCAGACCUAUAUCAGCAUCCUGCAGCAGAUCAUCCACACCACUCCUCCAGCAUCCAUUGUGAC
rnacentral:sRNA from 1 species